CCUACGGGGGGCUGCAGUAGGGAAUAUUGGGCAAUGGAGGCAACUCUGACCCAGCCAUGCCGCGUGCAGGAAGAAGGCGUUAUGCGUUGUAAACUGCUUUUAUAUAGGAAGAAAUAGACCUUGCGAGGUAAGUUGACGGUACUAUAUGAAUAAGCACCGGCUAACUCCGUGCCAGCAGCCGCGGUAAUACGGAGGGUGCAAGCGUUGUCCGGAUUUAUUGGGUUUAAAGGGUGCGUAGGCGGUUUAUUAAGUCAGUGGUGAAAGACGGUCGCUCAACGAUUGCAGUGCCAUUGAUACUGGUAGACUUGAGUGGGAUUGAGGUAGCUGGAAUGGAUAGUGUAGCGGUGAAAUGCAUAGAUAUUAUCCAGAACACCAAUUGCGUAGGCAAGUUACUAAGUCUCAACUGACGCUGAGGCACGAAAGUGUGGGUAUCAAACAGGAUUAGAUACCCAAGUAGUC
rnacentral:rRNA from 1 species